CAAUUUUUCCUGCAUUUAACCAAUAAUUUGGGGACGAUCUUCAAGGAUAGCGUAGAAUUUUCUGUGCAUUCUCUAAUGGGUGAUUGUCAUGGUAACUAUUCCCUAUGUCAGUGGUCCUAGAACCUUAGUGUGCUUCACAAUCACCUGGAGGCUUGUUAAAGUACGGAUUUGUUGGGCCCCACCCUCAGAAUUAGACAUUUGUAUCUCUAACAAGCCCCUGGUGAUCCUAAGGCCCAUGCUCAGGGACCACACUUUAAGAAUCACUGCCCUAAAUGGUAACCAGGAGGAAGCACAGUAAGGAAAAGUGAGGAUGAAAUCUUUAUUUUCUGUUUCAAUUGGACAUAGCGUCAGACGUAGAGGUCUUUCUUAUAUGAGUCUGGAUGGAUGCACGAAAUUGAUGAGUACACCAGAGAGGGAACUGGCCACUUCUUUCCUUUUGUGUCUCC
rnacentral:lncRNA from 1 species